GAGUGAAGCCCGGUCUCUCAUUUAAAAAAAAAAGAAAGAAAGAAAAGAAAAGAAGGUAGGCCAAGUGCAGUGACUCACACCUGUAAUCACAGCACUUUGGGAGGUCGAGGCAGGUGAAUCACCUGAGGUUGGGAGUUCAAGACCAGCCUGACUGACAUGGAGAAACUCCAUGUCUACUAAAAAAUACAAAAUUAGCCAGGUGCCGGGCACGGUGGCUCACGCCUAUAAUCCCAGCACUUUGGGAGGCCGAGGCGGGUGGAUCACGAGGUCAAGAGAUCAAGACCAUCCUGGUCAACAUGAUGAAAUCCCGUCUCCACUAAAAAUACAAAAAUUAUCAGGGCAUGAUGGUGCACGCCUGUAGUCCUAGCUACUUGGGAGGCUGAGGCAGGAGAAUUGCUUGAACCCAGGAGGCGGAGGUUGCGGUGAGCCGAGAUCGCGCCAUUGCACUCCAGCCUGGGUAACAAGAGCGAAACUCCGUCUCAAAAAAAAAAAAAAAAAAAAAAUUAGACAGGCAUGGUGGCAUAUACCUGUAAUCCCAGCUACUUGGGAGGCCGAGGCAGGAGAAUUGCUUGAACCUGGGAGGUGGAGGUUGCAGUGAGCUGAGAUUUUGCCAUUGCACUCCAGCCUGGGCAACAAGAGCAAAAACUUGGUCUAAAAAAAAAAAAAAAAAGGAAAGAAAAGAAAAAGGUACAUAAAUUGAGAAACCCAUUGUAUUCUAAUUUACUUAACCAGCCCCUUAUUAAUGAAUUUUUGCCUGUUUCAUUUUUGCCUUUACAGUGUUGUGACAGGUGUCUUCAUACAUUACUUUGCCCCUAAUUCUCUCUCUUUCUCUCUCUCACUCUCUUUUUUUCCUAAGACAGUGUCUGUUCCCAGGCUUGACUCCAGUGGUGCGAUCUGGACUCACUGCAUCCUUUACCUCCUAAAUUCAAGUGAUUCUCCUGCCUCAGCCUCCUUCACAGCUGGGACUAUAGAGUCUUGCUGUGUCACCAAGGCUGGAAUGCAUUGGCACGAUCUUUGCUCACUGCAACCUCCGCCUCCCUGGUUCAAGCGAUUCCCUGCUUUAGCCUCUGGAGCAGCUGGGACUACAGAGUCUCACUCUUUCGUCCAGGCUGGAGUGUUGGUGGCCUGA
rnacentral:lncRNA from 13 species